UACAGAGGGUGCGAGCGUUGUUCGGAAUUAUUGGGCGUAAAGCGCACGUAGGCGGUUCGUUAAGUCGGAUGUGAAAGCCCUCGGCUCAACUGAGGAAGUGCACCCGAAACUGGCGAGCUUGAGUACGAAAGAGGAUCGCGGAAUUCCCGGUGUAGAGGUGAAAUUCGUAGAUAUCGGGAGGAACACCGGUGGCGAAGGCGGCGAUCUGGGUCGAUACUGACGCUGAGGUGCGAAAGCGUGGGGAGCAAACAGG
rnacentral:rRNA from 1 species